GCGGUGAAUGCUUUGGGGUGGGGUGACUGCGUACCUUUUGUAUAAUGGGUCAGCGACUUAUAUUCUGUAGCAAGGUUAACCGUAUAGGGGAGCCGUAGGGAAACCGAGUCUUAACCGGGCGUUAAGUUGCAGGGUAUAGACCCGAAACCCGGUGAUCUAGCCAUGGGCAGGUUGAAGGUUGGGUAACACUAACUGGAGGACCGAACCGACUAAUGUUGAAAAAUUAGCGGAUGACCUGUGGCUGGGGGUGAAAGGCCAAUCAAACCGGGAGAUAGCUGGUUCUCCCCGAAAGCUAUUUAGGUAGCGCCUCGUGAAUUCAUCUCCGGGGGUAGAGCACUGUUUCGGCUAGGGGGCCAUCCCGGCUUACCAACCCGAUGCAAACUGCGAAUACCGGAGAAUGUUAUCACGGGAGACACACGGCGGGUGCUAACGUCCGUCGUGAAGAGGGAAACAACCCAGACCGCCAGCUAAGGUCCCAAAGUCAUGGUUAAGUGGGAAACGAUGUGGGAAGGCCCAGACAGCCAGGAUGUUGGCUUAGAAGCAGCCAUCAUUUAAAGAAAGCGUAAUAGCUCACUGGUCGAGUCGGCCUGCGCGGAAGAUGUAACGGGGCUAAACCAUGCACCGAAGCUGCGGCAGCGACACUAUGUGUUGUUGGGUAGGGGAGCGUUCUGUAAGCCUGUGAAGGUGUGUCGUGAGGC
rnacentral:rRNA from 1 species